AUAGGAAAAAUGAACCUGAACUGCUGUCAGAGGCUAGGAGGACAGUGUGGCCAGUGCACCUAUUGUGUCACUGCUGCAGAAAGCAGCUUAGCGAUUGGCCACUGUCUGCAGCACAUAAUACUGACUGGUUAUAAAGGACUUGUCUAGAGGAAAGCCUGUAGGUACUCCAUUGUCUGGCAAAGUUGAUAUGACUGCAUUCUUUUUGCAGGGGGUCAGACAGCUGAACUGUAAAAGCUGCACAGAUUUUUUUUCCUCUCUCUCCAUCUCUUUCUCUCUCUCUCUCUCUCUCUCUCUCUCUCUCUCUCUCUCUUCCAUACAGCAUUUUUCUUUCAUGCCCUGUCUCAGUUUGCAUAGUUAAAGAGAAUGCUAAUUAAGAUCCCUUGUCUUAACCUGAAAAUAAUGCCUCGGAUGUAAAUAGAAAACUGGCGAUAGUUUAAAAUAUUUUUCCGUAGCACCGAGAUAUCAGUAACCGUUCUGGGGGGAAAAAAAAAUGAAGAAUUUUUUUUUGUAAUCAAGACGGAUCUAACAACGCAGUCUGGGCUCCGUGCCAAAGGCUGGUAUUUCACAGCAGCGACCGCCUUACAGAUGAGCUGUGGGAAGCAGGAGGGAGACUCUCUUAGGGUGCCACUACUAUGGAGACACAGCUGGGCUGAACAAGAUUUGCUUCAAACGACAACAAGAGAGACAGAAAGUGUCUGGUUCGACUGCUGCCCAAGCAGGCAGUAACCAGAAGAGCUAGCAGCCAAUCCGGCCAUGCUGCACUGUUCGAAACCAGCUCUACAUCCCAGCCAAUCAGUGACAUCACUGACCUGGAAAGUAACAUUUGCUGUAGAUGUCUGCUUCUGUCUGGUGUGAUGCUCCAUUCUUCUGGCUAUGUCACAUGCAGCACUGAGUAAUAUUGGUAAAUAGAAGAGGUCUCUUAGAAUAAGGUGUCCACCUGCUGUUUGCAGCGGGAUGAUUUGUAUUGCUUCACUAACUGCUGAGCAAGAGAAGCCAAUUUUGGGAGCAUGUUCACUGUGAUACCUUCAGUGAUUUCUGUUUCAAUACAUUCUCUUCAGGGCUAUGACUGUAACUGAUUAGCAAACAAACAAACAAAAAAAAAAUUACAAAAGAAAAAGGAAACUGAAGAAGUUAAUUGUACCAGAACAGAAUCCAGUGAAGGUGGAGAGGAGCUCUGCAGAGAAGGACCUGGGUGUCCUGGUGGAUGAGGCUGACCACGAACUAAGCAGUGCGUCCUUGUGGCCAAGAAGGCCAAUGGUAUCCUGUAGUGCAUUAAAAAGGAUGUGGUGAGAAGGUCAAGGGAGGUCCUCCUUCCCUUCUACUCUAUCCUGGUGAGGCCACAUCUGAGGUAUGAGCAAGACAUAAUGGAUUUCAUUUUCAGUAUGGAUCCACAAAGUCAAAACAUUAGUGAGUAAUUUUAUUUGUGAAAGCAAGUAUUUCUUUGUUUAUCGUGGUACAGCGCAAGUUCCUUCAAACAAGUGUUCUGCUUGUUUCUACUGAUGCUCUUGGUCCCCAUACAGAACAGAUCUAUCUUGGCCCUGGAAACAGACUUUGUGGGCUUUUCACAAGUACUAGAAGAAGCUGGCUCUAAUAUUUGAGAAAUGAUCCCCUCUACAGAUUCAACCCAAUCUUCAUAGAGAUAUUCCUGUAAUUGAAGGCUCUGAAAAGUUCCUGUCUCUCUGGAUAGACUGAGAACAACUCUGUCCACUUGUCCUUCUUUGCUCUCUCUUCCUCCUUCAGCCUAUAGGAUCUGGAAGCAGGUGACAAAGAAGGAGAGUCUUGGAGUAACAUGGCUCAUGUCAAGAUAAAGGAAUUUUCAUUAAUUUAAGUGCCAUUCAUUAGGAAACCUAGCCCUUUAUUUACAUGGCAUAACAUUUUUUUUUUUCCCCUUGGUCUUUAUGUCUCUGAACUCUUAUAAACUUCAUAUAUACACACAGUGUGUAUUGUCAUGAGGCCAGAUUAUUCUAUUUACUUUUUAUCUUAUUACAUUGCUUUUACUUUUUUCCCCAGUAAAGAUGCAUUUGAAGCUUCUGUAAUCAAUGUGAAAUUGCUUUCUAUUAACUGAAACAAUAUGUAUAUGUACUAGAUAUAAUGGGAACACAAUACAUUGUUGCAGUCAUGGACAAAGAAUAAGCAACACACAACAGAAGUGGUUAGUGCCUGUGGUAUCAAUUCAGUUUGCAUUUAUCCUAAAUGUGUUGAGAACACUUAAGCCAAAAGUCAGUUUGAAUGGCAAAAGAGAAUAAGACUGAUCAAAAGAUUUAGGUGAGGGAGAAAAGACUGGCAAAAGAUAGAGGAAAAUAAAGGGGAAACAUGAAAAAAGGAUGUAUUGUGAGGAAAAAGGAGGGCGAAUUUGGAAGAAAGGAGAUGAUAGACGGUUUGUUACAAAUAGUGGCAGAGAGAUGCUACUGAACUGAAACUCACUGAUGCCUUUUUUCCCAUGAACACUCUCUUGAAAUGAGACAAGUUUCACAUCCCUGUUCUGUACUUUCAUAGUUUUGCAAGCACUUUUCUUGAUGUGAAGGUUUAAGAGCUCUUUAUAGGUACCAGUGCUUACUUCAACCAAUCAGAAAGUCAAAAAGUUUUCCUCUUAUUGUAUUUUUGGGAGAUGUUAUUCUGGAAUAUGUUGUAAUCUAACUGUAUCUUUGAGAUUCCAAUGAAUAUCCUCUCUCUUGCAUUAUUUAUAAUAACAAUUGUUAAUUAUUUAAGUGCAUAGUUACUGAAGUCAAAACAAUUAAUCUAUAUAUUUGUAAGAUAGCAAGGAGAGCUUAUGCCAUUACAUAAAUCCCAAAUCUAAUUUUGCAUUCAUUGUUGUAUUAAAAAAAAAAAAAAAUUAAAAAUAAAUAUAUAUUUUUUAAUAGCAGGACUAGACACACCAGCAUUCUAGAAUUUAAUCUAUUAAUAGGUAUCCUGCUUGGUGUUACAGCAUUUACUAAUUUGUGUGCAAGGUAUACAUACUAAUAAACAAUUUGCCCUAUAGCUGUGGUUGAAAUACAUCAGCCUUGUGAAAGUCAUACCUCUUUAAGAGUGUUACUGGCUUUGCUCAGAAUGGCAUAAUAAUAAGUUAUGGUACUAAUUUGUAACCUCACCUCUGUGAGCAACAUUCAGGCAAGAUCUAUCCAGGCAGUUUAUUAGAUGGUGUAUCUUGUUAUGUAUACUUGGGGUGGUGGGACUUUUUAUUCUGUAUUGUAGAGCAACAAUCCCAUUACGAUGUGUCAUGGGAAUUUGGUUUGUGCAGGGCUUGGAGAACCAGCCAACAUAUGCAUGCAAAAUGCUCAGAAAUUCUCUACCCAUUGCUAAGGAAUACUUCUGUACUUUGGAACUGACCAUGUGGAGACAAAAGCUGUGUGAGUCCUGCUGGAAAGGUUGCCUUUAUGCAUCUUAGCCAGCUUUUGGGAUUGUUUAAACCCAGAACUAGAAGUGUAAAUGUAAUGGAUAGAUUAUCUAUUACCUGAAAGUUUCCUGUAGAAAUUCAGUCUAGAUGAAAUAAAUGUUAAUUCAGUAUUAGCACUGAGGUUUUAUGAAUGAACAAUUGUAGAUAAUUAUGUCUUUAAAUUUUUCAAAGUUUUUUAAGUCUGUGUGUCAGGAAUAAUUGUGAUAAAUAGGAAUAAGUUAGGCUUUUUCAUUUCCUUGAGAAUGUUGCUUCUUUGGCUUAUCAAAAUAUUCCAAGGAUGACUCUUAGCCUGCUUCCACCAGAUUAAAACCUGUUUGUAGAUGCAGUAUGUCAGAAUACACUGGGUCUGAAGUCUCUUUCUGGCUCUAUGCUUAACACUUGAGGAAAAGAAGGAAUUGUUUCUGAAAUAAGAUAUAUUUUCUUGAGAUUUGUAUUUGAAGCUACUCUAGAAGCUUUUAGAAUUUGAGUAAAAUGCUUUAGUCUGUAGAGUCUAAAUUAAGCAAUAAAUUCAAUAUUAUGUUAUUAGGCAUUAAUCAUGCUGGCUGAGGGUUGUUUUUAUUUUUCCAGAACUGCUAAGACAACCCGGAUAUACAGUGCCUAUAAAAUCUAAUGGGAGCUACAUACAUGCAACUCCUGCACAGUUUUGAGAGUCUCUGCUGUAGUGACUUUAUGACUCUAUUCCAAAGCAAUUUUGGAAUCCUUUUGCCUCUUUCAAUUUCAAAAUUUAAAAAUAUGUGAGUUCUGAAGUGCUCCACCUUUAAUAACAGUAAAGGAGCAAGGGGACAGCAAACAGGGUCAUGACAUGGAUUAAGAAUACUUUUGAUAGAUUAGGUUUAUGUUAACAGUUUGGUUCUCUUUGGAAUGGAGAUUUGAGAAAUUUGCUUAUUUUGUUAUUUUUUGGUUGGUGUUUUUUUUUUUUGUUUGUUUGUUUUUGUUUUUUGUUUUUUGUUUUUUUUGAAUAAGUCACUCUUUCUGCAACUUUCAUUUGCUCUGCUUUCUUCAUGUCAUCAUUUCCUUGCCCUCAGGAAAGACUGCCUGACUUGUUUGUGUAAACCUGAUGACAGGACUUGGACAAACUGGAAGAAUGCCUAUGCAUAGAGGAAGAGUCUCAUUCACUCAAGACUCAGUGAUUUAAAGAGGAGCCAAAAGGCUCGUGAAGAUUAGUUCCCUCUAGCCAUGUUUGCUGUGGUGGGACUUCAGCUCAUGGAAGGUUUUAUUGCCUGGCUGCUCCUGGAGGUCCACGGAAAAAGGACAAGGCCACCAUUUCCCAGGAGCUUGGAUGAGGCUGCCACCACACUCAGACUAAACCAUGGGGUCACAGGAGUGGGAUGCCAAGAGACAUUUUAUAAUGACAGGAGAUGCCAUCAUGUGAGUCUGAAGCUCCAGCCAUCAGAAGUUCCUUCCAAGGCUUUUGUCAGUCACUGGGAGUCUUAGGAGGCAUGAAAAGUACUGACUAGAUUUCUAACCUAACAACUUCUCAGAAGAAAAUGUUCCAUUUCUAGUUUUGGACUCCACGGAAACUAGGAAAUGAAGUUGUGGCUUGGAUUCAGUAAUUAUUUAUGGCAUUUGGGCAUGUAAAACCCUGGUGAGCCAUAAACAAAAUGAAAGAAAGGACAAUUGUAAACAAGGUCUUUCAGUGAUAAGUGGAGGUAUAACAAUACAACAACUACAGCAACUUCAAUCAUUUUCCUAUAUUUAGUACCUCAAAAUUCAAGUUGACAGGCAUGCCUCACCUAAAUUCUGAUAUUUGUCAUCUCCUGAUUUACAAGUGCUUGGUUUUGCAAAACAAAUAAAAUUCUUGCCGUUACUUAAUGGUGCUGAAGAUAUUUCUUCUUUUACCUUGCAUUAUCUUUUUCUUUUUCUGUGGCUACUUGUAUCUGUAACCAGUCAUGUCUUUAAAUCCUUCCAUAGAUAAACUGUCUACAAUUUUCUCAAACUUCUAUUUCAAGUCACACUGUUUUUUCCCCUUUCUUUCUGUAUCAUCAGUGUACAAUCUCCAGAGUACCAAGCAACUCACAGAGCGUCUUGACAACCUGCAUCACAUUGAACUCAGUGUCUGAGAGUCAGUAUUCUUUGCAUCUGCUAAUAGCUUUGAGCAAGUCAGUUUAUUUUUCAGUGUUUCACUUUCUUCCCUUCAUUUCUAGUAAUGCAGAUAGAGCUAUUCUCUUUUCUGAGCAAAAUGUAAUCUGGUAGAUAGCAAAUUGGGUUGGUAGCAGGAAAAGGGGAGAGCUUUCAUCAUCAGAAUAACAUGGACCUAAAGAUUUUAUAAAUUAAAGGCCAAUUAUUCCCUGGGGUGCAUGGAGGGCUUUCCACAGCAAUCAGUCUUGUGAAUCUGAAAGCAGAAUAGAGCCUUAACUGUCUGUAUUUGGACUUUGUCAGGCCAUUUGUUUGUGACCAGAAUUGUAUUGUUGCUCUGGUUUUCAAUAAAGGGAUGUUCGCUGAGGCAUCACAUUGAUAUUUUUGAAGUACGUUCCAUGUUUUCAAAGAAUCAAAUUUAUCAACAAUGAAUUGAAAUGUCUAGCUGUUUCUGUAUGCUGUAGAGAUUUCACAUUGUACUGCUGUGCAUGUGCAUUCAUUUUUCACCUGCUGGAUGUAAUGGGAAUGAGUUCAAUACAUGAAUGAAAGCAUGUUAACAGGAAAGUGACUUGACCAAACCAUGCUUCUUCCAGAUAAAAACACCCUGCAAAACAAAAGCUGAAGUCACAAGCUUGUUUUCAUUAAUCAUAAAUCAGAGAUAAACCCAAAAUAGUAUAGUAGGAGGCAAUGUUGGCAGUAGACCUGUGGGAUUUUAACAAGCUCAGCUCCCAUUCUUUGAUUUACCUGUGUCUAGGUUAACCACUAUCUGAAAGAGUUUUGUGGGAAAGUCUCAUCUUAUUGUCUUAAAUAGAAAAGCUGACUAUUUGUGGAAAAUCUUUUCAGGCUUUCAUUUCCAAGUCCUGUACAAGGCAGACCUUUUAUCUGAGGCAUUAAAAAUCCCUCAAUAGGUGUAUAAAUUAUGGCCUAUAGUAAGGACUUUGGGACAUUCCACUGAGUUAUGUUCACAAAAUUUGAGUUAGGCUGCUUUUCCAGCUGAUGCAUAUGGCUCACAAUCCUGAGAGCUGAAAAGCUUCUUGAAAGAUGAAGAGGCCAACCAGGCUGAUUCUUUGGAUGCUGAACCUCCAGAGUUGCCUGCUAAUAGGGCACACAGAGCCAUAACUGAAAGUGCCUGGUUACUAUGAGACACAUCUACACUUCUGAGACCUAUGGACCUCUGUCUACAACAAGGUUGACAGGACUGGUAUUUUUUUCUGCAGUAUUUCACAGCAAAAAGAGCAAGGCUAGAGAUGAAAGUCUGAAAAAUCUCUUAAAGGAGUAAUUUAAGUCUAGGAUGAAGUCUUGAAGUCCCUAGUACAGAUGAAACAUCCAACUAUAUACUAGGGAUGGGUCAGAAGAAGAAAAGAGGAAGAGAAAGGAAAGGAAACCACAUCCAAGGAAGGUAAUUCUGUUUGGAAAAAAUGUCUCAUACAGUUUGGCACUGAACUCUUACCAUGCUGUUGCCAACUUGCAAGUUCAUAUGAGGUUUAUAGCAAGUUACAGGAAGAAUAAAAUGUUAAUCAUGUGCAGAACCUUAGUGUUGUAUUCUUGCCAUCUAUUUCAACAAUAAUAGCAUACAGACUAAGAAGUGAUUACAGAAUGACAUAAGCUUCUUUUCCACUUGAAUUUGAAAAUGUAUUUCCAUUUAAAGUUUAAUUUUUAUGUGUUUCAUCCAAAAUUAAGAAAACAAGAGGAUGCGAUUUCCAAGCACUAUAUAUAGGCAGGAUCUGGCAUCAAAUUUUUCUAAAAGUUAUUAGCUGUGUUAAAAGUAGUGACUUUUAACAUAGUACAUAAAAACUUACUAAUCAGCAUUUUAUGGUGGCUGAAAACCACAAAGGACAAGUUGAAAAGUGGGGGAAAUCAGUGAUAAGGGUAGUUACUCAACAAAAUACUUAACUGCAUGUCAAAGCUUGUAUCUUCUUAACAUAUUACAAAACCUCCUAUUAAAGACUGGCAUUUAAAGUGUAGGAGAUCUAUUGAAAUGGGGUCUGAGCCUGGAUAUAGAACAAAAGAAUAAAGAGUAUUUAAUUCUCAUUUUAA